rnacentral:piRNA from 1 species
CGAGCCUCAGCACGAGA